rnacentral:rRNA from 1 species
AACGAACGCUGGCGGCAUGCCUAACACAUGCAAGUCGAACGAGACCUUCGGGUCUAGUGGCGCACGGGUGCGUAACGCGUGGGAAUCUGCCCUCUGGUUCGGAAUAACUCAGGGAAACUUGAGCUAAUACCGGAUAAUGACUUCGGUCCAAAGAUUUAUCGCCUGAGGAUGAGCCCGCGUCGGAUUAGCUAGUUGGUGAGGUAAAAGCUCACCAAGGCGACGAUCCGUAGCUGGUCUGAGAGGAUGAUCAGCCACACUGGGACUGAGACACGGCCCAGACUCCUACGGGAGGCAGCAGUGGGGAAUAUUGGACAAUGGGCGAAAGCCUGAUCCAGCAAUGCCGCGUGAGUGAUGAAGGCCUUAGGGUUGUAAAGCUCUUUUACCCGGGAUGAUAAUGACAGUACCGGGAGAAUAAGCCCCGGCCAACUCCGUGCCAGCCGCCGCGGUAA